UUGGUUCUCCCGCAACGCUACUCUGUUCACCAGGUCAGGUCCGGAAGGAAGCAGCCAGGGCAGAUGACGCGUGUGCCGGGAUGUAGCUGG
rnacentral:SRP_RNA from 1 species